GCCAGGUUAUGUCAAGCAAUAAAAAAACGGUCCUUAAAAAAUGACACUGCAAGAAUCGAAUAUGACAUUUCGUUCCCCUCCUCGUACUUCACCCCCUCCAAUAUUCGGGCGCCAUUGAGAAUUUGCAUGACAGUGACAGCACGCCAGGCCGCCAUUGCUUAUUGUUGUUGAGAAGUGCUUGCGUCGAUUAAUUUCCGCCUCUUUAAAUCCACAAUUUGUGCAAUAUUGUGUAAAUUUUCGGCAAUGUUUCGAAAGUGUUGUGUGCCCGUUUGCAAUAAUAAACGACAGGACGUUAAAUUGGCCAUUUUACUGACUUGGAGAUUUCCUCAGGACAUCCGUCACCGGUCCUUACAGAAACGGAUGCCAAGAAGACAACAGAUCAUGGUUAUUCCAAGAAGCGCCACAUUGACCAUUCAUAUGCACAACCACCAAAUAAAAUGACAUGCCUUGAAGUUAAGGGUGCUUGUACCAUCACCUCAAUACCAUCCUGCAAUCCAAGAUAGUUGUACUAUCACCUCAAUGGAGCAGGAGGGUGCUGUUCCAUCUUCCAGCUCUGCAAUCCAAGAUACACAAGGUUCAUCUUGUAAAACACCAAGAAAACUGGUUAAGAAGAGAUUAUUAAGAAAUGUGAAUUCAUUAACUCCGAGAUGCAAAUUAUUUUAUAAUGAAUAUAAAAAGGCGAAACGCCAAAAUGGUUAUAACUACAGAGCCAAAAGGGCAUUGGCCUUCAGUAAAGAAACAUUUUUAGAAGAGUUAACAAAACACAUGAAUCCCUUAACUAAAUCAGUUUUAUGGAUGCAAGUUCGACUCUGCACAAAAAAUAAGAAGGCCCUAAAUCAUACAGGUUUCUACAAAAAAUAUUUAUUUUGCCUUCCAAGUCAUCAUUAAGGAAAAUGAUAAGCCAAUUAAAUUUAAG